CUUCUGUUUUCCACUCAACAAGAAGGGGGAGAAUAAGUACGUAUUUCAAGGGUGGGAUCGAUAAUAUUCCCAUCUGAUCUGUAUGGGCAAAUUAUAUUUCAAAUAUUCGAUCAUUGGAAUCCCGAAAAACUCCAUUACCCAAUGCCAAUGGUAAGGGAGUCCAUUGGAUCAUUGAUGGGCAAAACUGUAAAUCUAUCUGAAUUUAGGCGACUAUAUAAAGUCCAUCUAAUGCCCAUAAAUUACCCAAAAAUUAAAUCUGAGGAAUUUGGUUAGGGCAUCCUAUUGAUCUCUUUUAUUGGCAGAUCAAUUUUGCGAUCACAGCGAAACCCUAACCAUACAAUUCAAUCAUGUCGACCAAGCAAGGUGGAAAAGCCAAGCCUUUGAAGCAACCUAAGGCUGAAAAGAAAGAAUACGACGAGACUGACAAGGCUAAUAUUCAAAAGAAGAAAGAAGAAGAGAAGGCUCUUAAGGAGCUGAAGGCAAAGGCCCAGCAGAAAGGGGCAUUUGGAGGCUCUGGUCUAAAGAAAAGUGGCAAGAAAUGAGUCCUGAAACGCAGCUCGUUGCCUGCCAUUGUUUUCCUGUUUGUCAUUUUCUGUGUAUGCUAUUUAAACAUGUUAGCUUGUUCCUGCUGAUGGUUAAUGGGGCCGUGAAAGGCUUGUGGAUAUAAGAUUGUAUGUUCAACUGUUUGAAUCUAUGAAAUGGUUUAUGUCUGAA